GAAGAGGACCCUGGGAAGGUGGCUCCCGCCUCACUCCUAGAGUGAAAUCCUCGCAGCCCUGCCCUCGCGGGCGGAGCAGAGACGCCGCCGCUUGGCCGGUUCACGCCUGUCACACAAAGCCGCCGAGGGUCGGCUGCGCCCCUGGCAAGGCUGUAGGGCUGGGGAUACUGAGUAUGACAGGCGAGGUCCCUGCUCUCAAGAACUUACAUGGGAGAGAAGGGGAGACGAGAUAAACAGAUGGAGCAAUUCAACCCAAAAAGGUUGGUCUGUAUGGUGACGGAAUGUGGUCUCCCAGUUUUCAGCACAGCACUCAUCCAGCUAUUCUGCUCUUCAGAAAGCAGGAGGGAUGUGCCCUAAGGUGGACUAUUGAAAUGAUGAAAGCCACUGAGGAAGAGCCAGAGAAUUCUCAUAGCUGUGAUUAGACAUCAACCUUGGGCAUGCUAAACAUUUCAGCCUGGACACCCUGAGAAGAGCCAGUGCCAUUGGUGACAGCUGCUUCUGUGCGGGCUUUUGCUUGGCCAGAGAGGCAGGACCUUCUCCCUGGCAUUUUGAGGAGUGGUGCCGGGUGGGCAGUGACUGCACUAGCAACAGUCUAUACCAAGAGAAGACCUCAAAUUCCCAGAGAAGAAAGGCAGCGAGGCCAAGAAAUGCUGCUGCCGCUUAACAAGUGAAGGUGCAUACUGGAGAAUAGGAACUGAACACGCGAAGGAGUUUGGGCUUUACUGCCUUCUCUCCUAGCAUUGAACAGAUCUUCUCUGCUGUUGAUUAUUCUCCAUGAAUCAUCAUCCAUAGAAAGUGACUGAGGCAAUAGAGAGUGAAUAAUGAAUCCCUCAAAUAGUCUUUUGUGUUUCUGCCUGGAGGGUUUUGGAAAUAACUUGCAUCUUAAUCUUUCUGACUUAGAAUCAUAGAAUUUGGGAGCUGAAAAGGACCUUCAUCAGGGCAUGUGGCCUCACAGAAAGACUGGAAGAAAAGAUCUGUGGGUAUGAGCCUCUGGUUCAUCACUAAAAAUAGGCCUAGUCUAACAUAUAUUGGAGGCUUUCCUUGUGUCAGGUACUCAUUUAUUCUUCCAAAACCUUGGGAGGUAGGUGCUGCUAUUCCUCCGUUCUGCAGAGGAGGAAGAGAUGAGGAGACAAUAGAUCACCAGAGGGCAGUGUGAGGGGUGUGCUGGAACCAUCAUGUGGAACUGGCUCUGGUUCCAGAAUCCAUAUCCUCUCGGUCAUUCCACUCCCACAUCAAGUGGCUUUGGACAAGUAAUUUAACUUCUUUGGAUCUCAGUUUUCUCCUCCGUGAUCUCUAAAGUUUAAAAAUUACUAACAGUCUGCAUCUGCCACCCAAGCAUGUGAUUUUACAACUCAGAAAAGUGUAGCACAGAAAUGUUAAGUGACUUGCCCUAGGUCACCCAGGUUGCUAAGGGCAGAAUCAGCACAGAAACCCAGGCCCAGUGACCACUGCCCCCAGGCAAGACCUCCUUCCCUUCCACUGCACUUUGGCAGGUGUUCUAGGGGAAUCCAACUCCUUGCCUUAGAUGAGACCUGUUCAAUGAUAUCAGAUAGACUGGAGAUGUUACGUUUUGGUGUGGCCAAUCAUAACACCAGGAUGAGCUUAGGAGGCUGGUGAUAUUUGUCUAUCUAAGCACCCCCAACCUAUCUAUCUGUCUGCUGUUUGUCUAUCUUUCUCAGGUUAUGCAUAGUGAUCAAACCCCGCCUGGUAACUGUAGGGAAAGAGCAUGACUGGUGUGUUACAGCUACGCACGCCCCCUGGUGGUAUUUCCAGUUGUUUGUCCUCUUCAUGCAAAUGUUGCCACCUUGUGCCAGCUCUCUCACCUAGCUUCCUUCAUGACGACAGUGGUUGCAAUUCUGCUCCUCUCUCUGCCUUCCCCUGUCCUUGGCUCCCCAUGUCCAGAAUCUGAUCAUUUACUGGUGUGCACCCUGGGAUGUGAUGUGUGCUUUGGGAGGAGACAGGACCCAACAGUAUCUCAGCUGUGCUCUGGUAAUCAGUGUGCACCACAUUACAAGCAUCCUCAUCCCAGUAUCCUCCCUAUUGAAAAAGAGAUGGGAAAGGGGUGGAUGUGUCAAUAAACACAACAUUGAAGGCAUCUGAAAUAGAACAAGGACAUCCUGGGUGAGGCAUU
rnacentral:antisense_RNA from 1 species